GCGGAUCUCCACCCUCAUUAGGACCACACACAUAUCUAACUACUGCUCCGACGUGACACUGAAUCGGCUAGUUACAGUUUACUAACUUAUUCUGUACCUUAUUUUCCAGCGUUGUUUCCGGUCUGCCCCCCCCACGGGUUUUCGUCGGGUUUCUGGCGCUUCCUGCGCCGCGCUGUGCAUGCUGGUUGCUCUAGUCCUAGCUGGUAAUAUUCGUCUGUAAUCUAACAUCGCGCGACUUCAUUGUGGAGGAAGUGACGCGGAUGUAAACAGAGGAAAGGGGCGGGCGUUUUAAACUCCAUUACAGAUGUUACUGAUACUGUACGGUACGGUGAAGCAAGCACAGCUGAUGUCUCGUGGCAAUCAAUCCAACUCUAAUCCAUCCGUUCUCAUCUAGUUCUAAGACAUAUCGUUUUGGAGAAAUUCUUACUAUUCAUUACUACUUGAUCUUUAUCCUCUGAUUUUAACAUCAGGGAAAAUUACCUUAUACGAAAUUUGGAUUCAAUACUUCUUGUUCUUUAUCGUCUACUUUUUAACCAGAAUGAAAAGACAAGUGGAUUUUGAUUUAUCAAAACCAUGCCAUAAAUCAAAAAAAAGGGUUAUUUUAUUUUAAUAAAUUAUAUAUUUUAUAUUUUA